GAUGAACGCUGGCGGCGUGCCUAAUACAUGCAAGUCGAGCGAACAGACGAGGAGCUUGCUCCUUUGACGUUAGCGGCGGACGGGUGAGUAACACGUGGGUAACCUACCUAUAAGACUGGGAUAACUUCGGGAAACCGGAGCUAAUACCGGAUAAUAUUUCGAACCGCAUGGUUCGAUAGUGAAAGAUGGCUUUGCUAUCACUUAUAGAUGGACCUGCGCCGUAUUAGCUAGUUGGUAAGGUAACGGCUUACCAAGGCAACGAUACGUAGCCGACCUGAGAGGGUGAUCGGCCACACUGGAACUGGAACACGGUCCAGACUCCUACGGGAGGCAGCAGUAGGGAAUCUUCCGCAAUGGGCGAAAGCCUGACGGAGCAACGCCGCGUGAGUGAUGAAGGUCUUCGGAUCGUAAAACUCUGUUAUUAGGGAAGAACAAACGUGUAAGUAACUGUGCACGUCUUGACGGUACCUAAUCAGAAAGCCACGGCUAACUACGUG
rnacentral:rRNA from 1 species